AUUGAACGCUGGCGGCAGGCUUAACACAUGCAAGUCGAGCGGAGAGAGGUAGCUUGCUACUGAUCUUAGCGGCGGACGGGUGAGUAAUGCUUAGGAAUCUGCCUAUUAGUGGGGGACAACAUUUCGAAAGGAAUGCUAAUACCGCAUACGUCCUACGGGAGAAAGCAGGGGAUCUUCGGACCUUGCGCUAAUAGAUGAGCCUAAGCCGGAUUAGCGAGUUGGUGGGGUAAAGGCCUACCAAGGCGACGAUCUGUAGCGGGUCUGAGAGGAGGAUCCGCAACACUGGGAACAAGACGAGGCACAGACUCCUACGGGAGGCAGCAGUGGGGAAUAUUGGACAAUGGGCGCAAGCCUGAUCCAGCCAUGCCGCGUGUGUGAAGAAGGCCUUAUGGUUGUAAAGCACUUUAAGCGAGGAGGAGGCUACUUUAGUUAAUACCUAAAGAUAGUGGACGUUACUCGCAGAAUAAGCACCGGCUAACUCUGUGCCAGCCGCCGCAGUAAAAC
rnacentral:rRNA from 1 species